AGUGAACGCUGGCGGUAGGCCUAACACAUGUAAGUCGAACGGCAGCACAGUAAGAGCUUGCUCUUACGGGUGGCGAGUGGCGGACGGGUGAGGAAUACAUCGGAAUCUACUUUUUCGUGGGGGAUAACGUAGGGAAACUUACGCUAAUACCGCAUACGACCUACGGGUGAAAGCAGGGGAUCUUCGGACCUUGCGCGAUUGAAUGAGCCGAUGUCGGAUUAGCUAGUUGGCGGGGUAAAGGCCACCAAGGCGACGAUCCGUAGCUGGUCUGAGAGGAUGAUCAGCCACACUGGAACUGAGACACGGUCCAGACUCCUACGGGAGGCAGCAGUGGGGAAUAUUGGACAAUGGGCGCAAGCCUGAUCCAGCCAUACCGCGUGGGUGAAGAAGGCCUUCGGGUUGUAAAGCCCUUUUGUUGGGAAAGAAAAGCAGCAGGUUAAUACCCCGCUGUUCUGACGGUACCCAAAGAAUAAGCACCGGCUAACUUCGUG
rnacentral:rRNA from 1 species